CAGUAAAUAGUUUAUGAAAAUUUUAAUUUUGGGGAUUAAAGAUGGGUUAAUCUCUUUACUGA
rnacentral:tRNA from 2 species